UAAAUACACAGGGUAUCACAAUGGGACACAGGUGUGGGGACAGGGAGGGGCAGACGAAGGUGGGGCAAACACGUGACGAGGAACGUAAACACAAGUCCGGGCUGAGUCCUGACACACACACACACACACACACACACACACAAUUCAUCACCAACACUGAUCAUUACUACAGUCAUCUGGAAUAAAAAAUAUUUAUUAAACAAACAGCAAAAACAACCAAGCAGAGAGAAACAAUCCAGGCAGAGAAAUAAAAGCUCUCUCAUGAUCGCAGUAACUCUGGUGCACUAGAUUACAGACUGAAGAUACCAGGAGACUAAAAACUGUUCAAAGAUUUUAUUCUUUUUUAAAUACACACACAUAAGUGCUAGCUGUGAGUGUGUGAGUGAACAUGAAACUUUCCCUAGACUGAGAGACUAAACUUACUGCAGGUUUCGUGUGUGUGUGUGUGUGUGUGUGUGUGUGUGUGUGUGUGUGUGUGUGUGUGUGUGUGUGUGUGUGUGUGUGUGUGUGUGUGUGAGAAUCACUGAAGGUGUUUAAUACGAGCUCUAACACACACUCAGGUCGUUUUAAACUCAUGGAUAAAGGGAAGGUUGUAAUUGUGGUGUUUAAUGAUGGAGCUGCUUCACCCACACGGACUCCACAUCCUGCUGUACUUUAUAAACAUUAAAGGCUUCAUAUGACAA